rfam:Lactococcus piscium MKFS47 genome assembly, chromosome: I
GCCGGAAUAGCUCAGUCGGUAGAGCAGCACCAUGGUAAGGUGAAGGUCGUCAGUUCGAUUCUGAUUUCUGGCA